rnacentral:rRNA from 1 species
UACGUAGGGUCCGAGCGUUGUCCGGAAUUACUGGGCGUAAAGAGCUCGUAGGUGGUUUGUCGCGUUGUUCGUGAAAACUCACAGCUCAACUGUGGGCGUGCGGGCGAUACGGGCAGACUUGAGUACUGCAGGGGAGACUGGAAUUCCUGGUGUAGCGGUGGAAUGCGCAGAUAUCAGGAGGAACACCGGUGGCGAAGGCGGCGAUCUGGACGAUGACUGACGCUGAGACGCGAAAGCGUGGGGAGCAAACAGG